AGCUUUUCUUUGCCUUUUGGCUUAGAUCAAGUGUAGUAUCUGUUCUUGAAAGUUUGGUCGACUUUCACGCUUCCACGCGAAGCGAUUCGAUCUAACUUGUUUUUGCAACAUGGAAAUUGUUCUCUGGCUUGCUAUGACAAUUUUCACUGAUGGCCUGAGAGUUGCACUGUUUCUUGGAGCUGUCGAAUUGCU
rnacentral:snRNA from 1 species